rnacentral:rRNA from 1 species
GACGAACGCUGGCGGCGUGCUUAACACAUGCAAGUCGAACGGAAAGGCCCUGCUUUUGUGGGGUGCUCGAGUGGCGAACGGGUGAGUAACACGUGAGUAACCUGCCCUUGACUUUGGGAUAACUUCAGGCAACUGGGGCUAAUACCGGAUAGGAGCUCCUGCUGCAUGGUGGGGGUUGGAAAGUUUCGGCGGUUGGGGAUGGACUCGCGGCUUAUCAGCUUGUUGGUGGGGUAGUGGCUUACCAAGGCUUUGACGGGUAGCCGGCAUGGGAGGGGGACCGGCGACAUUGGGACUGAGAUACGGAGCAGAGUCGUACGGGAGGCAGCAGGGGGGAAUAUUGUACAAUGGGGGGAAGCGUGAUGCAGCAACGCCGCGUGCGGGAUGACGGCCUUCGGGGUGUAAACCGCUUUAGCCUGUGACGAAGCGUGAGUGACGGUAAUGGGUAAAGAAGCACCGGCUAACUACGUG